rnacentral:rRNA from 1 species
UGGGGAAUAUUGCACAAUGGGCGCAAGCCUGAUGCAGCCAUGCCGCGUGUAUGAAGAAGGCCUUCGGGUUGUAAAGUACUUUCAGCGGGGAGGAAGGGAGUAAAGUUAAUACCUUUGCUCAUUGACGUUACCCGCAGAAGAAGCACCGGCUAACUCCGUGCCAGCAGCCGCGGUAAUACGGAGGGUGCAAGCGUUAAUCGGAAUUACUGGGCGUAAAGCGCACGCAGGCGGUUUGUUAAGUCAGAUGUGAAAUCCCCGGGCUCAACCUGGGAACUGCAUCUGAUACUGGCAAGCUUGAGUCUCGUAGAGGGGGGUAGAAUUCCAGGUGUAGCGGUGAAAUGCGUAGAGAUCUGGAGGAAUACCGGUGGCGAAGGCGGCCCCCUGGACGAAGACUGACGCUCAGGUGCGAUAGCGUGGGGAGCAAACAGG